rnacentral:piRNA from 1 species
CAGAGCUGCUGUCCAACCUGCACUGGU